rnacentral:rRNA from 1 species
CCUACGGGGGGCUGCAGUGGGGAAUAUUGGACAAUGGGGGGAACCCUGAUCCAGCCAUGCCGCGUGUGUGAAGAAGGCCCUCGGGUUGUAAAGCACUUUCAGUGAGGAAGAACGCCUGGUGGUUAAUACCCAUCAGGAAAGACAUCACUCACAGAAGAAGCAACGGCUAACUCCGUGCCAGCAGCCGCGGUAAUACGGAGGGUGCGAGCGUUAAUCGGAAUUACUGGGCGGAAAGCGCGCGUAGGUGGCUUGAUAAGCCGGUUGUGAAAGCCCCGGGCUCAACCUGGGAACGGCAUCCGGAACUGUCAAGCUAGAGUGCAGGAGAGGAAGGUAGAAUUCCCGGUGUAGCGGUGAAAUGCGUAGAGAUCGGGAGGAAUACCAGUGGCGAAGGCGGCCUUCUGGACUGACACUGACACUGAGGUGCGAAAGCGUGGGUAGCAAACAGGAUUAGAUACCCUUGUAGUC